rnacentral:tRNA from 1 species
GGUGGCUCAGUGGUAGAGCGCUUGCCUUGCAAACACGAGGCCCUGGGUUCAAUUCCUCAGCACCA